UACAGAGGAGCCAAGCGUUGUCCGGAUUGACUGGGCGUAAAGCGCACGCAGGCGGAUGCGCGCGUGGGGUGUGAAAUCUGGCCGCUUAACGGCCAGGCGCCAUCCCAUACGGCGCGUCUGGAGUGAUGCAGAGGUCGAUGGAAUUGCCGGUGUAGUGGUGAAAUGCGUAGAGAUCGGCAGGAACACCAGUGGCGAAGGCGGCCACCUAGCCCGCACCUGACGCUGAGGCGCGACAGCGUGGGGAGCGAACUGG
rnacentral:rRNA from 1 species